UCUCUCUACACAGAGAAGUGGACCUUGCCCAUUGCUGCCCGGGCAUUACGAUGAAGAGAAGCAAAGUAGUUCAUCAAAGAAACAGGCGCUCUGAGUGCCUCAAGAACAGAGUUAAAAAGAAUAAUAAGAGAAGGCGCGGGAUACUGAAGAAGAAAAGGGGGAAGAAAAUAAGAAAGCAAGGUAAAGUUACAUUUAGAAGAACGGCUGUCUUUGAAGGGAAUGUUCCACCAACUAGAGCAAGCCGGAAGUCCACCCGAUCCAUGAUGUCUUCUAAGAAAUAAAGCAGCCGAGUCCUUUCAGUUACCAGGAAAAAAACAAUGGUUAAAAUCAAGGUCCCUUACUUCAGAAAACAUCAAAACCAGACUCAAUAAACCUUGUGUG
rnacentral:lncRNA from 1 species